GACGAACCGAGCGAACGUUGUUCGGAAUCACUGGGCUUAAAGGGCGCGUAGGCGGGUGCUCAAGUCUGUGGUGAAAUCCUCCGGCUCAACCGGAGAACGGCCAUGGAUACUGGGUGUCUCGAGGGUGAUAGGGGUAUGCGGAACUAUCGGUGGAGCGGUGAAAUGCGUUGAUAUCGAUAGGAACUCCGGUGGCGAAGGCGGCAUACUGGAUCACCUCUGACGCUGAGGCGCGAAAGCCAGGGGAGCGAACGGG
rnacentral:rRNA from 1 species